UCAGACGAUGCGUCAUGCAUAUCAAUAAGCGGAGGAAAAGAAACUAACAAGGAUUCCCUCAGUAACGGCGAGUGACGCGGGAAGAGCUCAAAUUUGAAAUCUUGAAAGGUCACCUUUCACGAAUUGUAGUUUAAAGAAGUGUUUUCUGUUACGAUCGUAAUAUAAGUUCUUUGGAAUAGGACAUCACAGAGGGUGAGAAUCCCGUCUAUGAUUGCGAUUUGUAGCUUUGUGAUACACUUUCAAAGAGUCGGGUUGUUUGGGAAUGCAGCCCAAAACGGGAGGUAAAUUUCUUCUAAGGCUAAAUAUUGGCGAGAGACCGAUAGCGAACAAGUACCGUGAGGGAAAGAUGAAAAGAACUUUGAAAAGAGAGUUAAAUAGUACGUGAAAUUGUCAAAAGGGAAGCGUUUAACACCAGUGUUGUUUUCUGAAAAUCAACCUCUGUUAGCUUUAUGCAUGUUUGUUUAGACCUAAUCAGCUAUCUUGCAUGUUCUAUUGUUUGCAGUGGUGCACUUUUCAGUUUACAGGUCAACAUCAGUUUUUUUUACCGUAAAUAAGUUAAAGAAAGGUAGCUCAUGGCUCCGGUCGUGAGUGUUAUAGUCUUUUUCCUAUGCGGUAGGAGAGACUGAGGUCUGCAGUGUAGGCUAUUUGGCUAGAUACUCAGGUGCUAUGUGAUACCAUUUCAUAAACAACUUGUUGAUUAUGUUUUGUCUAUUGCAUACUCGCUUGUACUAUCAUACCUACGCUUAGGAUGUUGAAGACUCUACAGAGAUA
rnacentral:rRNA from 1 species